AGUGAACGCUGGCGGUAGGCCUAACACAUGCAAGUCGAACGGCAGCACAGUAAGAGCUUGCUCUUACGGGUGGCGAGUGGCGGACGGGUGAGGAAUACAUCGGAAUCUACUUUUUCGUGGGGGAUAACGUAGGGAAACUUACGCUAAUACCGCAUACGACCUACGGGUGAAAGCAGGGGAUCUUCGGACCUUGCGCGAUUGAAUGAGCCGCUGUCGGAUUAGCUAGUUGGCGGGGUAAAGGCCCACCAAGGCGACGAUCCGUAGCUGGUCUGAGAGGAGGAUCAGCCACACUGGAACUGAGCCACGGUCCAGACUCCUACGGGAGGCAGCAGUGGCGAAUGUUGGACAAUGGGCGGAAGCCUGAUCCAGCCAUACCGCGUGGGUGAAGAAGGCCUUCGGGUUGUAAAGCCCUUUUGUUGGGAAAGAAAAGCAGCAGGUUAAUACCCCGCUGUUCUGACGGUACCCAAAGAAUAAGCACCGGCUAACUUCGUG
rnacentral:rRNA from 1 species